rnacentral:lncRNA from 1 species
UGCCGGGUUGGAGGAUGUGGUCCCGAUGACGUUGAAUGUCCAAAAGCUAAAGGAGUCUCCUAACCUAUCUUGAGAUCAUGAGGAUGGACACGCAUGGAGAGACGACUAUGCUAGUUGAUGGCAUAUAGCACGGAUGUGCAAAUAUCCUGGAUGGCAUGUGAGGAUGUGGAUAUUGACUCUGGAUGAGCAAGCUCAUAUAUAUCCUCACCAAGCUAUCACUUUGACAUAGUAGAUAGUCAACUGAUGAUCGAUACAAAUAAAAGUA